AAUUACCAAUCAAUUAAGGUCAAGGACCUGAACGGGAGGAGGACGUAUUCAGGAAGAUCGUCAACAUGAUGCCAACGGAGGACUGCCGUUAUGCCCUGUAUGACUGUUCCUGGGAGAGCAAGGACCGCACCAAAGAGGACCUGGUCUUCAUCAUGUGGGCUCCAGAACACUCAACUAUCAAAAAGAAAAUGAAAUACGCCAGCUCAAAGCAAUACAUUAAAGCAAAGUUCCAAGGUCUGAAGUUCGAGUGGCAGGUGAACGACAUGUCAGACGCCAAAGACAGCUCCGUCUUCAUCGAUAAACUGGGAGGCAGAGGAGUCGUUAAAAGACUGGAGGGAAAGAGGUCUAAGCACCUCCUGACGCCGCCGUACAACACUGAAUCAAAACCAGACCUGGGUUCAAAUACUAUUUGAAAAUCCUUCAGAUACUUUCAGCGUUUGCUUAAGGCUGCCAGGUGGGCUUUAAAAAAAUAAUAAUAACGUUUGGGACUUUUCUAUUACUUCCGUUGCAACAAGUUCAAUCAAGUAUUUGAGUUCGAAUAGUGUUUGAACACAGGUCUGGUCAAAACACCAAUGCAAAAGCAGCCCACUUCCUGUGUGUCCAAUUGAACUGUCCAUCACAGAGUAUUGUAAUUGAUUUGGUCUUUUUUUUUUUUACUCCCUUGUUCAAUAGCAGAUUGGUAAUAAAAUAGCUACUCAUCUAGUUGAUAAAUGCCAUAUUUUUCCCAGACGUAACUGCUUCAUGAUUUAUACAAAUGAACAUUAAUUUUCUUGUAGCUUGGGAUCUUAGUAUCAUCCUUGAAUGGAAUUGUUGUGUUUGUUGGUAUCCUGCGUCUAUUGACUCUGUUCCAGACAAAUCAUCUGAUGUGAUUCAAAUCAUAUUAUUCAUCUACCUUCCAUGUUUGCUGAUGUUUUGUUGAAAAUUUGAAAGUUUCACUAAAUAUAUUGUUAAAAGGAAGAUACCUCUGCCGAAUGUUGAUGACAGAAGCUCCACCACUUCAUAAUAAAGAGAAAGUGAAUUUCCUGUA